rnacentral:rRNA from 1 species
CGAAAACUUUACCCUGCUGGCAACAGCGAUAAGGGGACCUUGAGUGCCAGGAUACAAUCCUGGCUGUCGUGAUGCCUAAAAAGCAUUAUAUAGCAAGGGCCGGGCAAGACCGGUGCCAGCCGCCGCGGUAACACCGGCGGCUCGAGUGGUAACCGCUAUUAUUGGGUCUAAAGGGUCUGUAGCCGGCUUGGUUAGUCUCUUGGGAAAUCCGGCAGCUUAACUGUCGGGCUUUCAGGAGAUACUGCCAGGCUCGAGACCGGGAGAUGUGAGAGGUACUUCAUGGGUAGGGGUGAAAUCUUGUAAUCCUUGAAGGACCACCAGUGGCGAAGGCGUCUCACCAGAACGGAUCUGACGGCAAGGGACGAAAGCUAGGGGCACGAACCGGAUUAGAUACCCGGGUAGUCCUAGCCGUAAACGAUACUCGCUAGGUGUCGGCCACGGUGCGACCGUGGUCGGUGCCGUAGGGAAGCCGUGAAGCGAGCCACCUGGGAAGUACGGCCGCAAGGCUGAAACUUAAAGGAAUUGGCGGGGAGCAC